GCGAUGUGCUGAUGUUGGGUUCUCGCGGUCUCCAUGCAGUAUUGAUGUUUGAGUCUCUGUCAUGGGCAAACAAGUUGGUCAUUUGAGCCUUUUGGUCUAACAUUAGAAUAAGCAGCUGAUCUACUUCCUUUGAUAGUCCGAUUGGCCGCAAAUCCUUAAGGUUUCCUUCCUUGAAUAUGAACCUUAAGGAUUUGCGGCCAAUCGGACUAUC
rnacentral:misc_RNA from 1 species